CCUACGGGUGGCAGCAGUGAGGACUAUUGGUCAAUGGACGAGAGUCUGAACCAGCCAAGUAGCGUGAAGGAUGACUGCCCUAUGGGUUGUAAACUUCUUUUAUAUGGGAAUAAAAUGUUCCACGUGUGGGAUUUUGUAUGUACCAUAUGAAUAAGGAUCGGCUAACUCCGUGCCAGCAGCCGCGGUAAUACGGAGGAUCCGAGCGUUAUCCGGAUUUAUUGGGUUUAAAGGGAGCGUAUGUGGAUUGUUAAGUCAGUUGUGAAAGUUUGCGGCUCAACCGUAAAAUUGCAGUUGAAACUGGCAGUCUUGAGUACAGGAGAGGUGGGCGGAAUUCGUGGUGUAGCGGUGAAAUGCUUAGAUAUCACGAAGAACUCCGAUUGCGAAGGCAGUUCACUGGACUGCAACGGACACUGAGGCUCGAAAGUGUGGGUAUCAAACAGGAUUAGAUACCCUUGGAGUC
rnacentral:rRNA from 1 species